rnacentral:rRNA from 1 species
CGAGUCCGAGUCUCCACGGAGACGAAGUGGCGGUCAUCCAGCUUCCUAGAAAAGCCCUAACCACGUUAAUCUUUAGUUGCCUGUACCCGAAACCGACACAGGUAGGGGGGUAGAGAAUACCAAGGGGCACGAGAUAACUCUCUCUAAGGAACUCGGCAAAAUGACCCCGUAACUUCGGGAGAAGGGGUACCACUGAGAAGUGGUCGCAGUGAAGAGGCCCAGGCGACUGUUUACCAAAAACACAGGUCUCCGCCAAGUCGCAAGACGAAGUAUGGGGGCUGACGCCUGCCCAGUGCCGGAAGGUUAAGGAAGUGGGUUAGGGAUUCGUCCCGAAGCUGACGACUGAAGCCCCGGUGAACGGCGGCCGUAACUAUAACGGUCCUAAGGUAGCGAAAUUCCUUGUCGGGUAAGUUCCGACCCGCACGAAAGGCGUAACGAUCUGGGCGCUGUCUCGGAGAGAGGCUCGGCGAAAUAGGAAUGUCUGUGAAGAUACGGACUACCUGCACCUGGACAGAAAGACCCUAUGAAGCUUUACUGUAGCUUGGAAUUGGGUUCGGGCUUGGUUUGCGCAGGAUAGGUGGGAGGCGAAGAAGAUUUGCUUGUGGGUGAAUCUGAGCCAACGGUGAGAUACCACUCUAACCAGGCUAGAAUUCUAACUUCAACCCGUCAACCGGGGGAAGGACAGUUUCAGGUGGGCAGUUUGACUGGGGCGGUCGCCUCCUAAAAGAUAACGGAGGCGCACAAAGGUUCCCUCAGGCUGGUUGGAAAUCAGCCAACGAGUGCAAAGGCAGAAGGGAGCUUGACUGCGAGACCUACAAGUCAAGCAGGGUGGAAACACGGUCUUAGUGAUCCGACGGCACCGAGUGGAAGGGCCGUCGCUCAACGGAUAAAAGUUACUCUAAGGAUAACAGGCUGAUCUCCCCCAAGAGUUCACAUCGACGGGGAGGUUUGGCACCUCGAUGUCGGCUCAUCGCAACCUGGGGCGGAAGUACGUCCCAAGGGUUGGGCUGUUCCCCAUUAAAGCGGUACGUGAGCUGGGUUCAGAACGUCGUGAGACAGUUCGGUCCAUACCCGGUGUAGGCGCAAGAACAUUGAGAGGAGUCUUCCUUAGUACGAGAGGACCGGGAAGAACGCACCGCUGGUGUACCUGUUAUCGUGCCAACGGUAAACGCAGGGUAGCCAAGUGCGGAGUGGAUAACCGCUG